AGUGAACGCUGGCGGUAGGCCUAACACAUGCAAGUCGAACGGCAGCACAGUAAGAGCUUGCUCUUACGGGUGGCGAGUGGCGGACGGGUGAGGAAUACAGCGGAAUCUACUUUUUCGGGGGGGAUAACGUAGGGAAACUUACGCUAAUACCGCAUACGACCUACGGGUGAAAGCAGGGGAUCUUCGGACCUUGCGCGAUUGAAUGAGGCGAUGUCGGAUUAGCUAGUUGGCGGGGUAAAGGCCCACCAAGGCGACGAUCCGUAGCUGGUCUGAGAGGAUGAUCAGCCACAGUGGAACUGAGACACAGUCCAGACUCCUACGGGAGGCCGAAGUGGGGAAUAUUAGACAAUGGGCGCAGGCCUGUACCAACCAUACCGCGUGGGUGAAGAAGGCAUUCGGGUUGUAAAGCCCUUUUGUUGGGGAAGAAAAGCUGUGGGUUAAUACCCCGCUGUUCUGACGGUACCCAAAGAAUAAGCACCGGCUAACUACGUG
rnacentral:rRNA from 1 species